GAUGAACGCUGGCGGCGUGCUUAACGCAUGCAAGUCGAACGGUGAACACGGAGCUUGCUCUGUGGGAUCAGUGGCGAACGGGUGAGUAACACGUGAGCAACCUGCCCCUGACUCUGGGAUAAGCGCUGGAAACGGCGUCUAAUACUGGAUAUGUGACGUGACCGCAUGGUCUGCGUUUGGAAAGAUUUUUCGGUUGGGGAUGGGCUCGCGGCCUAUCAGCUUGUUGGUGAGGUAAUGGCUCACCAAGGCGUCGACGGGUAGCCGGCCUGAGAGGGUGACCGGCCACACUGGGAUUGAGACACGGCCCAGACUCCUACGGGAGGCAGCAGUGGGGAAUAUUGCACAAUGGGCGAAAGCCUGAUGCAGCAACGCCGCGUGAGGGAUGACGGCCUUCGGGUUGUAAACCUUUUUUAGCAGGGAAGAAGCGAAAGUGACGGUACCUGCAGAAAAAGCGCCGGCUAACUACGUG
rnacentral:rRNA from 1 species